AGAUAGGUCAUGUGAGGAAGGCAGCCAUUUGCAAGCCAGGAAGAGAGGACACCAACCCUGGGAACAUCUGAUCUUGGAGUUCAGCCUCCAGAACUAUUAUAAGCUCCUGGAGGUCAAGGAUCUGUCCUGCUUUGAUACUUAGAAAGACUCACAAGGCACAAACCUCAGGUUGGAUUCCUUGAAAACAGAUAACACCGGAAACCCACACAAUUUUUAAGCAAUCAUGUCAGAUUACAUGUAAAGGGAUAGACAAAAAAAAAAAAAAAGAAGAGACUGCUAUAUCAAGUGUCAGCAAACCAGGGCCUAUAUACCAAAUCCAGCCCACCACCUGUUUUUUUACUAUACAUUUAAUAAGCGACAUUGUCACCUCAUAUACCUAUUAACUCCGGAAUACCAGGCUGCCGCAAGACUCAUGUUGACAACUACAUCUACAGGAACAAGAUCUGCAAG